rnacentral:rRNA from 1 species
GCCCUUAGAGUUUGAUCCUGGCUCAGAACGAACGCUGGCGGCAGGCCUAACACAUGCAAGUCGAACGAUAAGUCGCGGUUCGCCGCGACCCAAAGUGGCAGACGGGUGAGGAACAUGUGGGAAUCUACCCAAAGGCGGGGAACAACCCAGAGAAAUCAGGGCUAAUACCCCAUACGCCCAAUCCUUAAUCAGAUUGGGGAAAGAUCUUUCGCCUUCGGAGGAGCCCGCACGGGAUUAGUUAGUUGGCGCGAUAAUAGCGCACCAAGACCAUGAUCCCUAGCUGGUCUGAGAGGAUGAUCAGCCACACUGGGACUGAGACACGGCCCAGACUCCUACGGGAGGCAGCAGUGGGGAAUCUUGCGCAAUGGGCGAAAGCCUGACGCAGCCAUGCCGCGUGAGUGAAGAAGGCCCUCGGGUUGUAAAACUCUUUCGCCGGGUGACGAUCGUGACGGUAACCGGGUAAAGAAGCCCCGGCCAACUCCGUGCCAGCCAGGCCGCGGUAAGACCGAGGGGGCUAGCGUUGUUUCGGAAUUACCUGGGGCGUAAAGGGGCGUGCUAGGCCGGAAUGGGGAUCAAGUCCCGGGGGUUGGAAAAGCCCCGGGGGG